CAGCCGCCGCGGGAAUACGUAGGGUGCGAGCGUUAAUCGGAAUUACUGGGCGUAAAGCGUGCGCAGGCGGUUGUGUAAGACAGGUGUGAAAUCCCCGGGCUUAACCUGGGAACCGCGCUUGUGACUGCACAGCUAGAGUAUGGCAGAGGGGGGUGGAAUUCCACGUGUAGCAGUGAAAUGCGUAGAGAUGUGGAGGAACACCGAUGGCGAAGGCAGCCCCCUGGGCCAAUACUGACGCUCAUGCACGAAAGCGUGGGGAGCAAACAGGAUUAGAUACCCCCGUAGUCCCUGUCUCUUAUAC
rnacentral:rRNA from 1 species